rfam:Metschnikowia bicuspidata var. bicuspidata NRRL YB-4993 METBIscaffold_9, whole genome shotgun sequence.
GUCGACGUACUUCAUAGGAUCAUUUCUAUAGGUCACGUUCCACAAUGACUCUUCUAAAGAGCCACUGAAUCCAACUUGGUUGAUGAGUAAGAUACCCUUGCGCCCUCAAAGUGAGAACCGAUUUAGCUUGUCCACGAUCCUUUGCGGUCUGGUCAUCUACAAUUUGUUUGCCUUUUACUAGGCGCCUUUCUUCGUGAUUGUGCGUCGUCAAGAGGAGCGAUGAUCUUGACCCUCUCUUGAAUGCUUCUUCGGAAGACUCAAUUGAGGGUGGGCACAAGCGGCAGUCUGACAAGU